rnacentral:pre_miRNA from 1 species
GGUGCAAUGGCUGGGUCAUAUGGUAGGCAUAUAUUUAACUUUUUAAAGAGACUGCCCAAUUAUUUUCCAAGGUGGUUGUACCAUUUUACAUUCCAACCAAUAGU